rnacentral:miRNA from 1 species
ACACCUUGGGGAGUCUCCUAUAGGCCAACGCAUGCGUGUUUGAGACCCCACUUCAAUCCAGAAACUUAAACUUAUGGUGUAACCUAAACCCAUUAGCUGUUUGAAGUGGUGUCUUAAACAUGUAUAUGUUGGUCUAUUGAUACUUCCCAAGGUGU